rnacentral:rRNA from 1 species
CCUACGGGAGGCAGCAGUGAGGAAUAUUGGUCAAUGGGCGGAAGCCUGAACCAGCCAAGUCGCGUGAGGGAUUAAGGCCCUGCGGGUCGUAAACCUCUUUGCUGGGGAGCAGUGGUCCGGACGCGUCCGGCCCGGGAGAGUACCCGGAGAAAAAGCAUCGGCUAACUCCGUUCCAGCAGCCGCGGUAAUACGGAGGAUGCGAGCGUUAUCCGGAUUUAUUGGGUUUAAAGGGUGCGUAGGCGGGCAUUUAAGCCGGCGGUCAAAUGUCGGGGCGAAACCCCGGCCUGCCGUUGAAACUGGGUGGCUUGAGUGGGCGAGAAGUAUGCGGAAUGCGAGGUGUAGCGGUGAAAUGCAUAGAUAUCACGCAGAACCCCGAUUGCGAAGGCAGCAUACCGGCGCCCUACUGACGCUGAGGCACGAAAGUGCGGGUAUCGAACAGGAUUAGAUACCCCUGUAGUC